GACGAACGCUGGCGGCGUGCUUAACACAUGCAAGUCGAGCGGUAAGGCCCUUUCGGGGGUACACGAGCGGCGAACGGGUGAGUAACACGUGGGUGACCUGCCCUUAGCUCUGGGAUAAGCCUGGGAAACUGGGUCUAAUACCGGAUAUGACUCCAUAACGCAUGUUGUGGGGUGGAAAGCCUUGUGCGGCUAGGGAUGGGCCCGCGGCCUAUCAGCUUGUUGGUGGGGUGAUGGCCUACCAAGGCGACGACGGGUAGCCGGCCUGAGAGGGCGACCGGCCACACUGGGACUUAGACACGGCCCAGACUCCUACGGGAGGCAGCAGUGGGGAAUCUUGCGCAAUGGGCGAAAGCCUGACGCAGCGACGCCGCGUGGGGA
rnacentral:rRNA from 1 species